CCUUUACAGCCUUAUGGGACGUAGGGGAAUAGGGGUGGGUUCCAUGCCGUGUACUGUAAAGGUCGCGUGGGAUUCGUGGAAAUUUUGAUAUCUUUGGUAUUGGGGUUCAAAAUGUUCCAAAAAUCAUUGUCGUUGUCAUAAUUGGCGAAACUUGCGACUUUAGUGAAGCUGAUGGAAUCACUUUUUACUAUUGGAGCAAACGAAGGGGAAGGUUAAGUGUAAUCAAGUGACCUUGUUGUGGAUAAACAAAUCGGUACUGCAUUGGUUAAUUUCUUGGCUACGUAUUUGGUAUCUUCCCAGUUUCCUAUAGGAAGGGUUAAGCAUUUAAAGCAACUGGAUGGCGUUCAAUCGUAUGGUAAGUUACGAGUAAACUACGAACUAACCGCUGAGAAGCAAUCCAUGCACAUCUCUGAGCAACUUAGCCGUUUAUCCGGCAGCUCCAUCUUAGCUUACGUCACAAGUUUUGAGGCAUCAUUCCUUCCAGAAGGACCGUAACGAAUUGUACCAUACAGAAGCAAUUGAUUCUGGGUACUAUAAUUAAGGUGACGUAAUUCAUUUGAUUUGUAUUCAAAAAACGAUCGGUCUCCUUUAAGAAAUUAACUGCCAUUUUAUUUUCUUCUCUUUUUUUUAUCAUUUAAAAUAAGAAUAGUUCGUUUUAUUUUCGGGUCCAACUUUAUUAACUGUUUUUGUUGGUUAUUGGUAUUGAGGAAUAAAUAGUGGUGAGUUAGAAAAGAAACACCCGUAUUACGAAACGGAAACGUAUGGUUUCAUCUUGCAGUAGAAUUUACAUGACGAAAGCAGCGCCUAACGUCUUUAGAAAUGAAAACGACAACGUGAGGUCUCAGUAAUGUGCCAUGGGGCCCUUAAUGUAAUAACUUAAAAAUUCAGAGCAGAUGUCAACAUGGGAGGAACACAGUCGUAUUUAAUUGGAAAAAUCCUACGUGUCAUCUCAUAAGCUUAUAAUAGAGUUCAUGUAGUGAAACCAACCCCUAAGUCAAUUUAAUUUAAUUUCUAAACAAAUGUCUCAUUAUAAUGAGCAUAUCCGUUUUGAGUUUGAGAGGUUCCACCCUGUAUAUACAACUUACGACGAUCAUACAUUUUUGAGAGUUGGCAACCAUGCAAUCUCUAGGUGGGAAAAAGCUGGCUGUGGCAUCUUGUCUUGAA